rnacentral:rRNA from 1 species
GACGAACGCUGGCGGCGUGCUUAACACAUGCAAGUCGAACGGAAAGGCCUGCUUUCCCUUGUGGAUUGCGGGUACUCGAGUGGCGAACGGGUGAGUAACACGUGAGUGAUCUGCCCCCAACUUGGGUAUAAGCCUGGGAAACUGGGUCUAAUUCCCGAUAGGACUGCAGGGUGGUGCCUGUGGUGGAAAACGAUUUUCUAGUGGUUGGGGAUGAGCUCGCGGCCUAUCAGCUUGUUGGUGGGGUAAUGGCCUACCAAGGCGGCGACGGGUAGCCGGCCUGGGGGGGGGGGCGGGCACAGUGGGACUGGGAUACGGGCCAGGAGCCUACGGGAGGCAGCAGUGGGGAAGAUUGCACAAUGGGCGGAAGCCUGAUGCAGCGACGCAGCGUGGGGGAUGACGGCCUUCGGGUUGUAAACUCCUUUCGACCGCGAGGAAGCCACCUGGUUGGAAGGGUGGUGACGGUAGUGGUAGAAGAAGCACCGGCUAACUACGUG